rnacentral:rRNA from 1 species
UUGAAGAGUUUGAUCAUGGCUCAGAUUGAACGCUGGCGGCAGGCCUAACACAUGCAAGUCGAACGGUAACAGGAAUCAGCUUGCUGAUUUGCUGACGAGUGGCGGACGGGUGAGUAAUGUCUGGGAAACUGCCUGAUGGAGGGGGGGAUAACUACUGGAAACGGUAGCUAAUACCGCAUAACGUCGCAAGACCAAAGAGGGGGACCUUCGGGCCUCUUGCCAUCGGAUGUGCCCAGAUGGGAUUAGCUAGUAGGUGGGGUAACGGCUCACCUAGGCGACGAUCCCUAGCUGGUCUGAGAGGAUGACCAGCCACACUGGAACUGAGACACGGUCCAGACUCCUACGGGAGGCAGCAGUGGGGAAUAUUGCACAAUGGGCGCAAGCCUGAUGCAGCCAUGCCGCGUGUAUGAAGAAGGCCUUCGGGUUGUAAAGUACUUUCAGCGGGGAGGAAGGGAGUAAAGUUAAUACCUUUGCUCAUUGACGUUACCCGCAGAAGAAGCACCGGCUAACUCCGUGCCAGCAGCCGCGGUAAUACGGAGGGUGCAAGCGUUAAUCGGAAUUACUGGGCGUAAAGCGCACGCAGGCGGUUUGUUAAGUCAGAUGUGAAAUCCCCGGGCUCAACCUGGGAACUGCAUCUGAUACUGGCAAGCUUGAGUCUCGUAGAGGGGGGUAGAAUUCGAGUGUAGCGGUGAAAUGCGUAGAGAUCUGGAGGAAUACCGGUGGCGAAGGCGGCCCCCUCGGACGAAGACUGACGCUCAGGUGCGAAAGCGUGGGGGAGCAAACAGGAUUAGAUACCCACGGUAGUCCACGCCGUAAACGAUGUCGACUUGGAGGUUGUGCCCUUGAGGCGUGGCUUCCGGAGCUAACGCGUUAAGUCGACCGCACGGGGAGUACGGCCGCAAGGUUAAAACUCAAAUGAAUUGACGGGGGGCCCGCACAAGCGGUGGAGCAUGUGGUUUAAUUCGAUGCAACGCGAAGAACCUUACACGGUCUUGACAUCCACGGAAGUUUUCAGAGAUGAGAAUGUGCCUUCGGGAACCGUGAGACAGGUGCUGCAUGGCUGUCGUCAGCUCGUGUUGUGAAAUGUUGGGUUAAGUCCCGCAACGAGCGCAACCCUUAUCCUUUGUUGCCAGCGGUCCGGCCGGGAACUCAAAGGGAGACUGCCAGUGAUAAACUGGAGGAAGGUGGGGAUGACGUCAAGUCAUCAUGGCCCCUUACGACCGGGGCUACACACGUGCUACAAUGGCGCAUACAAAGAGAAGCGACCUCGCGAGAGCAAGCGGACCUCAUAAAGUGCGUCGUAGUCCGGAUUGGAGUCUGCAACUCGACUCCAUGAAGUCGGAAUCGCUAGUAAUCGUGGAUCAGAAUGCCACGGUGAAUACGUUCCCGGGCCUUGUACACACCGCCCGUCACACCAUGGGAGUGGGUUGCAAAAGAAGUAGGUAGCUUAACCUUCGGGAGGGCGCUUACCACUUUGUGAUUCAUGACUGGGGUGAAGUCGUAACAAGGUAACCGUAGGGGAACCUGCGGUUGGAUCACCUCCUU